rnacentral:piRNA from 1 species
UCUGCCAUUUUGGACACCCCAGGCCUC